GGUGUUCUUUGCUCUGUGAGGAGAGACCACAAUACCUCAGAAGCUUUGUGUCAGUAAUACCUACAUUCAAAUAGAGUUAAAGAUUUACUGCAUGGUGAUAAGAGAAAGGCAGCAAUACUAUCUAAAGCUAUGCACAUACUCAUGCUUGGCUCAUCUAAGUAUUUUCUGUCUCUUUAGCCUUAAAUUUUUGAGGUCUAAUCAUCUGAAAAGAGCAAAUUAUGGUGGAGAGUUUUUUCCCAAACUGCUAACAUCCUCAUGAGGUCACGGGAGAAUGUGUAAUGUGCCAAGGCUCAGGUGAUAAGGAAUGCAGUGACCUAUGGUGAUGUGCAUAUCAACUUCACUUGGGAAGAAUGGACUUUGCUGGAUCCUUCCCAGAAGAUUCCCUACAAAGAUGUGAUGAUUGAGACCUACAGGAACCUCACUAUUAUAGGAUACAGUUGGGAAAAUGAUAAUAUUGAAGAACAUUUUCAAAAUUCUAGAAAGCUGGUAAAAAUAUGCCUGUGAAGAAA